ensembl:lncRNA
GCUUGGAGGGAUGGACGUCUGGGACAGAGCCUGCCAGUCUACAUUAGGUCUACUCAUUCGACAGCAUGCCACCGAGAAAGAAUGUGGGGGGCACCAAGGCCAAGGGUCCAGCGAAACAGAAGCAGCCCAAAAGGUCACCCUGUCCUACUGUUCCAGAGAAUGGAUCACUGGAUGCUGCAGCAGUGCCACCCACACCAGUGGCUACCAAUCAGGCAGUCACUGUUGUGCCAACAGAAACCCUCAAUGCCAUGUGGGCAACACUGCAAGUCUUGGAGCAGGAGAGAAGGGCGCCACCCCCUAACCUGGAUAGUGAACAAGCUUUUAACACUUUGAUAUCCCAUGUCUCUGCUCUAGAGAACAAGCGCAGUGCUCCUGGCACAGGUGACGGAGGCCAGCCUAACAUCCAGCCAGCUGACCCAGUACCAUCUGCUGAGCCGACGGCAGUAACCCAACCUGAAAUGACGGCACAGACGCAGAACACCAGGAGCAGUGGUGGAAGCUCACGUAAUGAUGACACACCUACAUGGCCAUGGGACCAGCAAGGGUCACAGGAGAGCUCCCAAGUACAAAAUCAGUUAGAAGAGCUCCUGGCCUCGCUGACUCCUAUGCCCACACACAGUCAGGCACAGGGGUCAAGGCAACCUAAUUCAAGUGGUAGCACAGAUGGAGUGUCGAUGACAUAUAGAUGA